GUUCAUCCAGAUCGUGCUCGGGUUCGGCCCGCUCCAGACGGGCCUCGCGUUCCUGCCGAUGGCGGGUUCGAUGUUCGCGAUGACCC
rnacentral:tRNA from 1 species